rnacentral:ncRNA from 1 species
AACAUGAAAAAGCAAACUUACUGAAAAGUAAGGACGCAAAACUAUGGGUCUAAGACUUUCAGAGUUAAGACUGCCAGGUUGCCGGA